UAUAGGACGUAUAUUUUAUACAAUUUAUUCCACUGAAGGAACAUUUCCUCGAAUGAUAUCCACAGGAGUAUAUAUAUACAAAUGUGGUCUAUAAGACUAUAUAUUUACAAUCUCCGUUUACUCUUAAUUGGAGUCUACCCUCUCUGUCAAAUGAUAUUUUAGAGUAAAACAUAAGCUACAGGUCUGCCUCGCAUAUCGGCGUUAGGCCAUGAACAGUUACAAGGCACCGCGUACUGUCCUGCCGGGGAAUUAGGUCCACCACUAUGGGUAUGAGUGUGUGUAUGUGGUGCUGUGGAAUUCAUUGGCGAUGUUGGAAUAAGCGCUGAAUGAUUCAGCCUUGUUUGUGAUGCGAUGCCAGGGUAGGGUGAAUAAUAAGGAGUUGUAGGCAAAAGUUCUGGUCUUGUUGUAUUCGUAUCAUAAGCUGCAGCAUAAUGAGCAUAGCUAGAUUCAAGUCUACUGUUAGCUGAUGUUGUUGCCAUGAAUGACCUUGCUUUCACUGUUUGAGUGUACUCAGGUGACAUAAAUGAUCUUGCAGAAGGAAGACUUAACGUUGGAUAUUUGGUUAAAGGGUCAAGGAUAGGUUGAAACGGUAAUGGAAAAGCAUAACGGUCUUUCUUCAAUAACGAUUUUGGUUUUCGUCGCGGUCUGUAUUUGUAAUCAGGGUGUUCUUUCAUAUGCAGUGCUCUGAGUCGUCUAGCCUCUUCAAUAUGUGGUCGUUUGUCUUCUUCUGUCAGUUCCUUCCAUAAUUCCCCAAGUUGUUUGGAGAUUUCCGAGUUAUGCAUCUUUGGAUUCUCCUCCGCCAUCUUCUUCCUCUCGGCCCGGGACCAAACCAUGAAAGCAUUCAUCGGACGUUUGAUAUGAUUUUCAGAUUUUGAAGACAUCUCUUUUCUUUAGAUUUCAAACCUACAACAACCAAC